rnacentral:rRNA from 1 species
AACAGGCUCAGGACGAACGCUGGCGGCGUGCCUAAUACAUGCAAGUCGAGCGGACAGAUGGGAGCUUGCUCCCUGAUGUUAGCGGCGGACGGGUGAGUAACACGUGGGUAACCUGCCUGUAAGACUGGGAUAACUCCGGGAAACCGGGGCUAAUACCGGAUGCUUGUUUGAACCGCAUGGUUCAGACAUAAAAGGUGGCUUCGGCUACCACUUACAGAUGGACCCGCGGCGCAUUAGCUAGUUGGUGAGGUAACGGCUCACCAAGGCGACGAUGCGUAGCCGACCUGAGAGGGUGAUCGGCCACACUGGGACUGAGACACGGCCCAGACUCCUACGGGAGGCAGCAGUAGGGAAUCUUCCGCAAUGGACGAAAGUCUGACGGAGCAACGCCGCGUGAGUGAUGAAGGUUUUCGGAUCGUAAAGCUCUGUUGUUAGGGAAGAACAAGUGCCGUUCAAAUAGGGCGGCACCUUGACGGUACCUAACCAGAAAGCCACGGCUAACUACGUGCCAGCAGCCGCGGUAAUACGUAGGUGGCAAGCGUUGUCCGGAAUUAUUGGGCGUAAAGGGCUCGCAGGCGGUUUCUUAAGUCUGAUGUGAAAGCCCCCGGCUCAACCGGGGAGGGUCAUUGGAAACUGGGGAACUUGAGUGCAGAAGAGGAGAGUGGAAUUCCACGUGUAGCGGUGAAAUGCGUAGAGAUGUGGAGGAACACCAGUGGCGAAGGCGACUCUCUGGUCUGUAACUGACGCUGAGGAGCGAAAGCGUGGGGAGCGAACAGGAUUAGAUACCCUGGUAGUCCACGCCGUAAACGAUGAGUGCUAAGUGUUAGGGGGUUUCCGCCCCUUAGUGCUGCAGCUAACGCAUUAAGCACUCCGCCUGGGGAGUACGGUCGCAAGACUGAAACUCAAAGGAAUUGACGGGGGCCCGCACAAGCGGUGGAGCAUGUGGUUUAAUUCGAAGCAACGCGAAGAACCUUACCAGGUCUUGACAUCCUCUGACAAUCCUAGAGAUAGGACGUCCCCUUCGGGGGCAGAGUGACAGGUGGUGCAUGGUUGUCGUCAGCUCGUGUCGUGAGAUGUUGGGUUAAGUCCCGCAACGAGCGCAACCCUUGAUCUUAGUUGCCAGCAUUCAGUUGGGCACUCUAAGGUGACUGCCGGUGACAAACCGGAGGAAGGUGGGGAUGACGUCAAAUCAUCAUGCCCCUUAUGACCUGGGCUACACACGUGCUACAAUGGACAGAACAAAGGGCAGCGAAACCGCGAGGUUAAGCCAAUCCCACAAAUCUGUUCUCAGUUCGGAUCGCAGUCUGCAACUCGACUGCGUGAAGCUGGAAUCGCUAGUAAUCGCGGAUCAGCAUGCCGCGGGUGAAUACGUUCCCGGGCCUUGUACACACCGCCCGUCACACCACGAGAGUUUGUAACACCCGAAGUCGGUGAGGUAACCUUUAAGGAGCCAGCCGCCGAAGGUGGGACAGAUGAUUGGGGUGAAUCUACGGGGGGGUACCCCCAUAA